UACGGAGGGAGCUAGCGUUGUUCGGAAUUACUGGGCGUAAAGCGCACGUAGGCGGCUUUGUAAGUUAGAGGUGAAAGCCUGGAGCUCAACUCCAGAAUAGCCUUUAAGACUGCAUCGCUUGAAUCCAGGAGAGGUGAGUGGAAUUCCGAGUGUAGAGGUGAAAUUCGUAGAUAUUCGGAAGAACACCAGUGGCGAAGGCGGCUCACUGG
rnacentral:rRNA from 1 species